rnacentral:lncRNA from 1 species
GUGUACAUGCAGACAGGACACUGUGUACAUAAUAAAUAAAUUAAUUAAUUAAAAAAACCAACGAACGGAUCUGGGAAGAAUAAAGGUAGAGGGAAGGAAGUUUGCUGCAGCCAUGCUAGAACUUUUCUCCAGAAAGAUGAAGUAAGGCCUGGAGAUUCCCUAUAAAGAGCAAGGAAGCCUGGCGGUGAUGGUGCAUGCCUUUAAUACCUAGCACUCCGGGGCAGAAGCAGGAAGAUGUCUGUGAGUUCGAGGCCAACCUGGUCUACUGCGUGAGUUUCAGGACAGCCAAGGCUACACAGAGAAACUCUUGUCUCAAAAAGAACCAACCCAACCAAAUAACCAAAUAGUAAGCAUGAACUCUAAUAGGAGCAAUCACUAACCGAAAUCCCAGGAAAGUGGUUCUGGGGGCACCAUCACGGGUCACAGGGCAAGAGAGGUCAGCGUUGAAUCCUGGAGGGCUUCCCGCAAUCAGUCACUACACCAGCAGAGACUAAGGCAGGGGAUGCAGGUAACAUCCAGGGCAAAGCACUGUCGAACUACAAGCUUGCCUUCCAGGUUCAUCUUCCUGCAUUAAAGGGUUAAGCUGGGAUCAAGGGACGGCCAUCCUGAGGUCCCAUAGUGGGAGAAACACACAGCAGGCAGAGUCAGGCUCCCUAAGUGUGGAUCUGAAGGUCCCGGAAAAGAUGAAUGAACCCAGCUAGACCAUGGUUUAUGACAUAGCAGACUCAAGAACUACUUACUGCAGAGGAAUGGUUCAAAUGGAGGCCCAGACAAGCAAAUAAUUAUCAACGUGGAAAGCUGUACCCAAAGCCAGCGGUAAUUAAACCAGACAUUGUCUGCCAGGAGGGUUUGGAAGAUGGAGGGCAUUCUGAGUUCACGUGGGAGACUUGCAAGAAGUGACGGAGUUUGGGCAUGGGUGGGGGAAGGAAGUGGAAAAAACAAGAAAUUGGAACUUGGUUGGGGACAGAUUAUGCAAUAUGCCACAUUGACAAGACACAGCUCUGUACUGUGCUCAGUGAGGAACAGCCAGGUCUAUUUCAGAACCCUGCUGAAGAAUGAAGGUUGGCUUCUGGGGGUGGAGGGUGUGAGAAAAAGCCAUCACUGGUUUCCAGGUCUGAACCCCUCUGGACAUCAGGAAAAUGAAGAAAAUGGCUGUUCUUGUCUCUUGUGUUGUUGGAGGCUGACAUGAGAAUACACACAGAGCAUGGCCCUGUAAUACUAAUAAACCUUUGCAUCGUUGGGCUCUUUGCUAUCUGGAUGAAUAGUUAGGCACACAGGACGUUCUGUCUCUUAGACCUGGGCUUGUGUCCUGGCCAUGUUAGGUGGCAUGUUUUUAAUCUAAGCAAGACACAAGAUGGCCAGGAAGGAAUGGUCAAAAGUGUUUGGCAUUGCUAUGCUUUGAGAGC